GACCUGAUGGUGUAACGGUUAACACGUCUACAUAAAUUUCAUCUCCACAUGGGAUUGUGAAGGAUACCCGGUUCGAACCCGGGUCAGGGCA